GGGAAUAUAAUUUAAUAUAAAAUAUUACUUUUGCGUAGUGACUAUGGAGGUUAUAAUCCUCUUAUUUCCA
rfam:Theileria parva strain Muguga apicoplast, complete genome, whole genome shotgun sequence.